rnacentral:misc_RNA from 1 species
GGCAGAGCCUGUGGGACUUGAGAUUCGACGGUCACGAGCUGGAAUUGGCAGGCAAGAUCCGAUUAAAGAGAAGGUGAAGCAAGAAGAGAUUAGAGCUGAGAAAAAGAGGAGCCAUCAGGAGGCCUUGAUGGAGGAAUUUGGGUCUCGGCAGAAGUUGCAGUGGCGAAGUCGUAGAAUUGUGAUCAAUUAUAACAAGGCGAAGGCAGCA